rnacentral:lncRNA from 1 species
UAAACUCCGCCCACAGCCCCGGUUCCACGCCCACUUCCGGCUGAGAAAACCACGCCCAUGAGAAAGUCCCGCCCCUGCCGCCGCAGGCUCCGCCCACUCCGCAUGGUCCCCCUGGACGCUGACAGGGAAGGAGAUCGAGAUCGACAUCGAACCCACGGACAAGGUGAGCGCCCAGUUCGGACCAGUAGGAACCAGUAAGGAGCGGCGGGGGGGCAGGGGGGGAGCGGCAGGGGUCUCCCAGUUCAUCCCAGUAU